rnacentral:rRNA from 1 species
AGGGUUUGAUCCUGGCUCAGGACGAACGCUGGCGGCGUGCCUAACACAUGCAAGUCGAACGAGAAUCCGUGGAAGGAGGCUUCGGCCAACGGAAGCGGAGGACAGUGGCGGACGGGUGAGUAACGCGUGAGCAACCUGCCUUGGAGUGGGGGACAACAGAGGGAAACUUCUGCUAAUACCGCAUAAUGUGCCGGGAAGGCAUCUUCCUGGUACCAAAGAUUUAUCGCUCUAAGAUGGGCUCGCGUCUGAUUAGAUAGUUGGUGGGGUAACGGCCCACCAAGUCGACGAUCAGUAGCCGGACUGAGAGGUUGAACGGCCACAUUGGGACUGAGAUACGGCCCAG